UUCUACCUCUUCCUUCCUUCUCCCACCACGAUUACACGGUUAAGGAUCUGUUCCCAAUUGAAUUCAAGAGUUUAAUUCCAAUCCGAAAUUUCUCAAAUCCAAAUUUACAGAUUUCACUUCAAUCUAAAUCCAGAUAUUUUCGUAUUUAUCUUCUUCUCCAGCGAUUGUUUCUCGGCGGAGAUUAAUAUCUGGCGAACAUUUUUCCCGGCUUCUUGUGGUUGAAUUAUCAAUUGGUUUCCCACCAUUACCGAUUUAGGAGUUUGUUCAGCAUCUAACACCUUCUCAAUCGAGUGUCCUGCACAAGGAAAAAGAAAUUGGAGACUCAAGUGAAGCAGACUAGCAGAGUAUGAGAAGGCUAACAACAUAAAUGAUGAUGAUGAAGAUGAAGAUGAAGAUGAAGAGGAUGCCACAAAAACCCGCACUCCUAUUCGCUUGAUAAAGCGCCGAUAACUAACUAACUGGAGAAUCAGAUGACUAUGGAGCUAUUGGGUGAUCUUUGUUUUAUCUGGCGGA